rnacentral:rRNA from 1 species
GACGAACGCUGGCGGCGUGCUUAACACAUGCAAGUGGAGCGACGAACCAGGGCUUGCCCUGGGGCAGAGCCGCGAACGGGUGAGUAACACGUGGGUAACCUACCCCGAUGACCGGGACAACCCGAGGAAACUCGAGCUAAUACCGGAUGAAUUCUCGUCACACCAGUGGCGUGAGAAAAGGUAGCUUCGGCUUCCGCAUUGGGAUGGGCCCGCGGCCCAUUAGCUUGUUGGUGAGGUAACGGCUUACCAAGGCGACGAUGGGUAGCUGGUCUGAGAGGACGAUCAGCCACACUGGGACUGAGACACGGCCCAGACUCCUACGGGAGGCAGCAGUGGGGAAUCUUGCGCAAUGCGCGAAAGCGUGACGCAGCAACGCCGCGUGCGGGAAGACGGCCCUCGGGUUGUAAACCGCUUUCAGUUGGGACGAAGCCUGUCCGGUUAAUAGCCGGUGCAGGUGACGGUACCUUCAGAAGAAGCCCCGGCUAACUACGUGCCAGCAGCCGCCGUAACAC